GAUGAACGCUAGCUACAGGCUUAACACAUGCAAGUCGAGGGGUAACAAGAGAAAAGCUUGCUUUUCUCGUUGACGACCGGCGCACGGGGGAGUAACGCGUAUCCAACCUGCCCAUAACUAGGGAAUAACCUUGCGAAAGUAAGACUAAUACCCUAUAAUUUACUUUGACGGACUCCGAUUAGGAAUAAAGAUUCAUCGGUUAUGGAUGGGGAUGCGUCUGAUUACCUUGUUGCCGGGGUAACGGCCCACCAAGGCAACGACCUAUAGGGGUUCUCAGAAGAAGGUCCACCACAUUGGAACUGAGACACAGUCCAAACUCCUACGGGAGGCAGCAGUGAGGAAUAUUGGUCAAUGGGCGGAAGCCUGAACCAGCCAAGUAGCGUGCAGGAUGACGGCCCUAUGGGUUGUAAACUGCUUGUAUACAGGAAUAAAGUUAGCCACGUGUGGUUAUUUGUAGGUACUGUAUGAGUAAGGACCGGCUAAUUCCGUGCCAGCCGCCGCCGUAA
rnacentral:rRNA from 1 species